CAGUCGCCACGGUAAUACGUAGGGUGCAAGCGUUAAUCGGAAUUACUGGGCGUAAAGCGUGCGUAGGCGGCUUUUUAAGUCGGAUGUGAAAUCCCUGAGCUUAACUUAGGAAUUGCAUUCGAUACUGGGAAGCUAGAGUAUGGGAGAGGAUGGUAGAAUUCCAGGUGUAGCGGUGAAAUGCGUAGAGAUCUGGAGGAAUACCGAUGGCGAAGGCAGCCAUCUGGCCUAAUACUGACGCUGAGGUACGAAAGCAUGGGGAGCAAACAGGAUUAGAUACCCGGGUAGUCCCUGUCUCUUAUAC
rnacentral:rRNA from 1 species